ACUCCUACGGGAGGCAGCAGUAGGGAAUAUUGCACAAUGGGGGAAACCCUGAUGCAGCCAUGCCGCGUGUGUGAAGAAGGUCUUCGGAUUGUAAAGCACUUUCAGCGGGGAGGAAAAACUGAUGUUACUUACAGAAGAAGCACCGGCUAACUCCGUGCCAGCAGCCGCGGUAAU
rnacentral:rRNA from 1 species